rnacentral:piRNA from 1 species
UACCUGAAGGUCACUGUGAUGAAGUGG